UGUUUAUGCCGAAACCCAAUUAUUUGGGUAGUCGAAUGUGUAUGCUUAACUCUCUUUGAGAGUGUUUAUGCCAAACCCAAUUACUUGGGUAGUCGAAUGUGUAAGAAAGAAGAAAGCUCAUAUGUGGAUGGAACUAAAAUGAAGUGAUUAUGAUUCGACAACUGAGAUGACUAACUUUAAAAUCUUGUUGCCGAAGGUAGGUAAAACUUUAAGUUUUUGCUAGAGCACAUGUAAGAAAGAAAAGGUACGAAUGAUAUGUUUGAAGCCGAUAGUGUGUAAGUUAAGAUUUUUCCUUAAGGCGGAUGUGGGAUUUUAAGUUCAUAUGAUAGAAUGUGAAUUUACAAGCGUGUAGGAAGAAACGGGAGGUUAAACGGGUAAACGGUUCAAAAGACACGCGCGUUUUAGUGCGUUCGGACGACGAAACGGAUCUGCAGAAAAGGGACUUUUCUAGAGGCCGUCGCCGACGGGUUCCCACCCCGUCGCCGACGGGCUCCCAAAAGUGUGAAAGAGGCCGACGGCCUAACCGACUGGUUACGGGUUAAAUUGGACGACGGGCAUUUUAAGAGGCCGUCGCCGACGGGUGCCCACCCCGUCGCCGACGGGCUGUCUAGCCCACUUCUCCGUUUUGCUUAAUUUUGCAUUUCCAAAUGAUCCGUAACGCAUUCCGAUGAUUCGUAAAGUUUCUUAUGAGCAUAUAGGGAUGUACAUAAGUAGAUAAGCAUGUAAGUAUGUUUAUAUGUAACCGUAUAUGUACGUAGAACUUAUGCAAGUAGGUAUGCGCGAAAGUAUGUAAGUUUAUAGUGUGGGAACAAGUACUAGUUAUGUAUGUAUAAAUGUAUAUGUAUAGAUAUCGGUUUAUGUAGGUACGCAAGUAUUUAUAUAAGAGCACAAGCAUCAUGCGAAUGAAUAUGAAAAUGUGUACGUAUGUAUGCAUGAUGAUAUGUAUGAGCGUAUGCGUGUAUGUGAAAAAUAUAGGAAAUGUGUGUACGUAUGUAGAUGUAUAAGUAUAUGAGUAUGUAAGUACAUAUAUGAUGUAUGAGUAGAAUGAAAUAAAUCGAUUUAUUUCGAUUAGUAAAUGUAUGAAUGUAAUAUGCUUAAAUAGGAAAUUAGAAACAAGCCGUAGACUUAAGUUUGUAUGAAUAAUAAUUUUAUACAAUUGGAAUAGAUUCAAUGAAUGAAAUGCAAGGGAUGAUAUGUGCUAGAAACUAGCAAUAUGAAAUGAAGGACACUAAUAAGAGCUCUGGAAUAGAGUCUAACAUAAGUAGGGUAAGAGUAGAAUUGGUCUGAUUCGAAUAAGGAAGGUUUCGGGGACGAAACCUCCUUUAAGGGGGGUAGACUUGUAACGCCCCAAAAAUCCGCAUUUAUGAAUUUACCUUGUGUUUAAAGUAACACCCCAAGUCUCGUAUGCCCUAAUGUAAUAUUAAAAGUCUGAUGUUUAGAUGAUAAGAAAUAGUAAAUAUAGAUUUUUACCAUCUCCUAAGUUUUAUAAACUAUGGUAAGUCAAAAGUUAUGUACACAUGAUAUUUACCAAGGGAAAAGUUAACCUAGUUAGUAUGUGAUUAUAAGGAAAGUGUCAUAUGUUAAAAGGAUGAGGGGGUUAAAAUGAAAAGUGUGUGUGUGUGAUUAAAACACUUACAAAAAAAAUGCCCAGUGAUUUAGAAGUGGGUGUGCGUGACCGUGAGAACAAGACCAAGGGGGAAACCCUAUUUCUUCAAAAUCUUGCAAAUUAAAGGAGAAAAGGGCUAAAUUUUGAAUGCAUGAACUAAGAAUGAUGAUCAUCUAAGCAUACCCAACAUCAAGAACGUGUCAAGGAGAGGUCAAGCAUAGGAGGAUAACGGGUCAAGAUAAGGCAAGGUGACAAAUACACUUAUUGGAGUACUCGAGGUAAGUGAAUUUCGAUUCACUUUUUAGUAGGUUUAAUAGAUUUUAAUACUUAUGUUUACGAAACAUCAUGAAAGAACAUGUGAUAAUCAGAAGUACAAAGCCAAUAAUGCCUCAUUAUUGAAGAAGGUUGUAUUUAAGCCGAAAGUAAAUUGGUGGGUUUAAACGGGUCGAAUUUUAUGUGCAUAUGUUGCGUAAUGUAAUGAAAUUCGUUAGGGUUAAGACCUUGGGUAAGAAUUUUAGUCAUUAUGUAAGGGGAACAUUUCCCGGACCAUUAGGAACAAGUUUUAUAUGAUUCGGUUGUCGGUUAGUGAAUGAACGGAUUGUUUCGUGUUAGUGUAGGAAAUUUUAUAAGUAUAUGUGUAUGGGAAUCCAAAGGCCACGUGGGUUGAAUCGUAGAUUGUCUAUACUAUGUAAAGUUGUAAAUGUGACAUUCCGGCAUAAACCUACAUGUAAAAGAAGCUUGUGUAUAUAUUCGUGAUUAAUUGAUUGUGCGUAGGAAGGAACAUUGGCAUGUAUGAAGGUACGCAUAUAUAUAUAUAAGUGUAUAUAUAUAUGUAUGUAUGUAUGAUAAUAAGUACGUAGGUGUGAAUGUAUGUGUGAAUGAAUGUUCAAUGCUUAAGACAUAUGCAUGAACGUAUCAAAGUGUUCGAGUAUUUAUGGAUACUAAUGAUGUGCGUUGAGUUGGAAUGUAAUGUAGGUAUGGGAUCGUUGGCUUCAUGAAGAAAUGGAGCUGGAUUUGGAUAAGAGUAUUUAAGAAAGCGCUUGGACAAUUCCACGACUACUUUAUAGAAUGCUCUACGAAAUUUUAUUAUAUAGUUUAAUGUUGAAUGGUAUGUUAAUGACUAAUGGUUUGGUUGUACGUGGUGUCCACAGGUAUCGCUUGGGUUUUCUCUACAUUUAUUGAAGUGAAGCGGACUUAGUUCGAGUUGAGAGCAAGGAUUGUACGGGGUAGAAUGGUCACAUAGUGUAACUCAUAUAGGUUUUGAAGUAUUAAUGUUAUAAAACGUUAUAAAUCCGUUUUAAUGAAUAUAUGGCAUUUCGCAUUUGAACCUUCAUGUGUUUGAUAUGUCUAUUAAAGAACGAAAUUUUUGGGCUCUUGUUUUCCGCUGCGUCGUAUUUUAAGUUAUUACGCGUUAGUCUUACAGGGAAUUGUUCUUAUUACGAACGGGUCAUGCCCGAAUUUUGUUAAAUAAUAGUAUGAUAAUAUUACAUUUUGGAAUGUGUAAUUUGGGUGUAACAAGUUGGUAUCAGAGCCCUGGUUUGAGAGAAUUAAGUACGAGAGUAUAAGUACUUGAACUCAAACCUGUGUGCUCUUGUGAUAAGGAACCCGUACAAUCCAUGACUCGAUCAAGAUCUAAAGGUAGAAAUGGAAUGAAAAUGUGUAAGUAUGUAUUAGAUUAUGUAUUUGAAAGAAACUAAUAGUGUGUUAUGUGCAAGGUAAGCUUAAGAGCUUGAAGAGGAUGAUCCGUGAAUACAGAAUAGGAUGAACGCUAAGGCGGGCAAAGGUGCAAAUAGGCAAAUUAACCCCAGGAACGUGUCAAGGAGAGGUCAAGCAUAGGAGGAUAACGGGUCAAGAUAAGGCAAGGUGACAAAUACACUUAUUGGAGUACUCGAGGUAAGUGAAUUUCGAUUCACUUUUUAGUAGGUUUAAUAGAUUUUAAUACUUAUGUUUACGAAACAUCAUGAAAGAACAUGUGAUAAUCAGAAGUACAAAGCCAAUAAUGCCUCAUUAUUGAAGAAGGUUGUAUUUAAGCCGAAAGUAAAUUGGUGGGUUUAAACGGGUCGAAUUUUAUGUGCAUAUGUUGCGUAAUGUAAUGAAAUUCGUUAGGGUUAAGACCUUGGGUAAGAAUUUUAGUCAUUAUGUAAGGGGAACAUUUCCCGGACCAUUAGGAACAAGUUUUAUAUGAUUCGGUUGUCGGUUAGUGAAUGAACGGAUUGUUUCGUGUUAGUGUAGGAAAUUUUAUAAGUAUAUGUGUAUGGGAAUCCAAAGGCCACGUGGGUUGAAUCGUAGAUUGUCUAUACUAUGUAAAGUUGUAAAUGUGACAUUCCGGCAUAAACCUACAUGUAAAAGAAGCUUGUGUAUAUAUUCGUGAUUAAUUGAUUGUGCGUAGGAAGGAACAUUGGCAUGUAUGAAGGUACGCAUAUAUAUAUAUAUAUAAGUGUAUAUAUAUAUAUAUGUAUGUAUGUAUGAUAAUAAGUACGUAGGUGUGAAUGUAUGUGUGAAUGAAUGUUCAAUGCUUAAGACAUAUGCAUGAACGUAUCAAAGUGUUCGAGUAUUUAUGGAUACUAAUGAUGUGCGUUGAGUUGGAAUGUAAUGUAGGUAUGGGAUCGUUGGCUUCAUGAAGAAAUGGAGCUGGAUUUGGAUAAGAGUAUUUAAGAAAGCGCUUGGACAAUUCCACGACUACUUUAUAGAAUGCUCUACGAAAUUUUAUUAUAUAGUUUAAUGUUGAAUGGUAUGUUAAUGACUAAUGGUUUGGUUGUACGUGGUGUCCACAGGUAUCGCUUGGGUUUUCUCUACAUUUAUUGAAGUGAAGCGGACUUAGUUCGAGUUGAGAGCAAGGAUUGUACGGGGUAGAAUGGUCACAUAGUGUAACUCAUAUAGGUUUUGAAGUAUUAAUGUUAUAAAACGUUAUAAAUCCGUUUUAAUGAAUAUAUGGCAUUUCGCAUUUGAACCUUCAUGUGUUUGAUAUGUCUAUUAAAGAACGAAAUUUUUGGGC